rnacentral:misc_RNA from 1 species
UGGUUCCGGCAUNGAUGAAGAACGCAGCGAAAUGCGAUAAUUAAUGUGAAUUGCAGAAUUCAGUGAAUCAUCGAGUCUUUGAACGCACAUUGCGCCCCCUGGUAUUCCGGGGGGCAUGCCUGUCCGAGCGUCAUUGCUGCCCUCAAGCCCGGCUUGUGUGUUGGGCCUCGUCCCCCCUCCGGGGGACGGGCCCGAAAGGCAGCGGCGGCACCGUGUCCGGUCCUCGAGCGUAUGGGGCUUUGUCACCCGCUCUGUAGGCCCGGCCGGCGCCUUAGCCGACGACACAAUCUUUUUUUUCAGGUUGACCUCGGAUCAGGUAGGGAUACCCGCUGA